GACAGAGGUGCCGAGCGUUAGGCGGAAUCACUGGGCUUAAAGCGUGUGUAGGCGGGUCGUUAAGUGUCUUGUGAAAUCCCACCGCUCACCGGUGGAACGGCUGGGCAUACUGGCGACCUUGAGAGGCCUAGGGGCAGACGGAACAAGCGGUGGAGCGGUGAAAUGCGUAGAUAUCGCUUGGAACGCCGACGGCGAAAGCAGUCUGCUGGGGGCCUUCUGACGCUGAGACACGAAAGCGUGGGUAGCAAACAGG
rnacentral:rRNA from 1 species